CAUCGCCCGUCACACUAUGGAAGCUGGCCAUGCCCGAAGUUGUUACCUUAACCGCAAGGAGGGGGAUGUUGAAGGCAUGGCUAGUGACUAGACUGAAGUCGUAACAAGGUAGCCGUACUGGAAGGUAUGACUA
rfam:Gossypium arboreum cultivar AKA8401 contig_38959_3, whole genome shotgun sequence.